CAUUUUCUUAAUUUGGGCUUCAGUCCCUCUUCCCCUCUUUCGUAGAAGCAGGAGUAGAGACGAAGAAGAAGAAGAAUUGAUUUAUGGAACUAAAGAUGAUGAUCUCUACGAACAGAAGGUUACGUAGAUGAUGCCGAUUAUGCUUAAUUAGAUCAUUUUAUCCCCGAUUUUGGUGAUCCAUAUUUUCCGAAAGAUAUUAUGGAUGUUCUGCAGUUGGACAACUUGGAGUUGGAUCUCUGUGUGGGUGCGGUGAUGUUGGAAGUGUAUAAUUUAGGUGGAAAUCCAAUAUGGUUCGAGUCCAUACAGCAUUAUCUUGGCACUUAUGCUAUGUCGUUGCUGGAAGAAACUCGCAUAGAUAUAUGCUCACAAAUGGAGUUUAUGUCAGGUGUACUUCACGCUGAAGUAACAUCAGUGGAGGAGUCUAAGCUGCAAGAUGGGUCAUUCUUCUAUUGCAAAGAACCAUACAGCCUGAAACCUUCGGAUCUGUUUAUUUUGGGUGAUACUGUACCUGAAGUUUCUUCAGUCUUGCAGCGGUUUGGAAGCAGUUGGUCUUUGACUUCAGUUGUAGAAGAUGUGAAACAGUCCUAUUCUGUAGGGCAUGGGGACGAAGUUAUAUGCUUUCAGGUGAGGACCUCAAAUCCCAUAAAGAUAGAGAUGAAAGACGGCAGGAGGAAAUCACUUUUUGUGGUGUUUCUGGUAACCUGGCAACGAACACUAGAACAUGGAAGGCAUUGCAUAUAUUCCGAAACUUGAAUAUCGUAAAGAAAGUUCUGUGUCCCAAUUACAUGGUAAAGGAAAAUUGUGGUCUUUGUUCUGUACAAGUUGACAGGAUUUGGCCGGAAAAGUUGAUUCACAAUUAUUACUGUCUCUUAAUGAAUCUCAAAGAGCAGAGGUUUUGGGUCUUCUGUGAAACUUCUUUGGGAUGCACCUGGAACAGGAAAAACCAACACCAUCAGUAUAUAGCUUGCUAAGUAUGGAUUGUAGCACACUUGCUUGUGCCAAGAGAAUAUUGCAAUGCUGAACUUGCACCACAUAACUUAAACCUUCACAAAGAUGCUUGCGAAUCAGACUUGGGAAAGAACAACUCAGGUUGUUCAUUAGGGGACUUUCUCUUGUUUGGGAAUAUGAAUAAAUUGGAGUUAUGUAGUUAUCUUAGAGAGAUUUAUGUGAUCAUCGCGUGGACAGUCUUGUCGAGUGUUUCUCUUCAUUAACUUGUUGGAAGAAAUAUUUCUAUUCCGUGGUGGAUUUUCAUGAAGACUGUAUAUCAGUAUGGUUUGCUUUUAGAUAAUGGAAUAAAUACAGAAGUUCACGUGACGGAGAAAAUUGGAAGGAAUUCUGAAGUCCACAUGUCUCUUCUCAAGUUUGCAAAAGACCGAUUCAGAGCUUUAGCGGCACCACUAGAACGAAGCAUCACGGAUAAUUUCAGAAAGAUGCUUACCCUUUGUGGUUUGCUUGAAUCUCUUGAAAUUUUGCUCUCUCAAAGUUGGGUGUCUAACAAAGCAUCAGAGGAACUCUUUGCACGAUAAGAAAAUUAUUCCAAGGAGGCAUAAGGAAAUCGAGCAUUUAAAUAUACGUCAUCCACAUUACAGAAGAUGAGGAUUAAAAGUGUGCGAGUUCUAAGAUCUGUUGGUCAUUCUCUUGAUGAUUGCCUUCCAAGUUCCACCAACAGAAGUUUCUUAACAGAGUUCUGUUUGAAAAAUUCAUCCCUCAAUUUUCCCACAGUGUCAAGCUCAUAUAAUCUGCAUGAGGUAGACCCGGAACCACUGGAUUUGUUGGUAAUUGAUGUCAAUUGAACUAGUGUGAAUCGGUGAUUCCCAUGCAGCAUCAAGCUAUACGACACACUGUCCUAAUUGGCAAUGAGUGUCAUACACAAGCUAGUGUCAAAAGCAGGGUAUUCAUAACAUCAAAUUCUUCGUUUUCGUUCUCAAAGUUUGGGUUUUGUUUGGGCACUCGAAUUGCUUAACCAUAGGUAUCGCAUCUUCUUACGCUUCCCAAAUUACUGCAAUAGAGAAUAAAGUUAGUCGAAAUAUGAGAAGCUAAAGGACUGUUUCAAAGGAGCAGCAACACUGUUUUUCUUCUGAAGGAUAUUUGGAAGCCAUAGGAAAUAAUUCUUUGAGUGCUCCAACCGGGAAAUGUGCAGAGUGGUUGGGAAUGAGACAAAAGGUACUAUCUUACGGCAAUUGUUCGUAACAGUCAGCUCAAAACUAUGCUCUGCUGUUAAAAACCAAAUAUCGAACUUGAAAAGCAUUAUUCCAUCGAGUUUCCUGAUGUCGAUGAUGCAGUUCAAUUUCGAGAUAUACCAGAUUCUCUCAAGGACAUUCCACCUGAAAAUUAUCCGCUUGUCAUAAUGUUUCAGAAGUUCCUACUGAUGCUUGAUGGAAGAGUAUGAGAAAUCCAUAUUUUGAGAGAGUUGGUGAUAUAAGGUAACUUUCACAAUCUUAAAUUGCAACCACAAGGUCAUUUUCUUUGCAUGGGAUUUUCAGGUAUAUGUUGUGGGUUAUGGUAUUCCUUUUGUAUUUCGAGUUCAAGGUCUAUUUAGAAUUUAUCUUAGUAUGAUUCAUUGUGUUUCAUGAGUGUACUCAUACCAGGCAGAGACCUUGGAUCUGUGAGAAUAUAGAUGAUUUUCGAGGCCUAUGUUUGAUUACUGGAAGAAGUUAUGUCUAGUUCAAGUAAGAGAACUUGAUGAACCAGUUGUACAAGCAAUGCAAUUUACGAGCAGCAAAGAGAAUGGAGUUCACGCGGUAUUAAGUUACUUGAUGAAGGUAAUUUUGAGAUGGCGACGGUGUGGUUUGAAAGAGCUGGUCGUUCAUUCUUGGAAAAACUCGCGAAGGCUUCUGGUAUUAGAGCUGCUGGUAUUCACAUGCUUGGUUCUAAUACUGAACUAGCUCGGGUUGCUCUUUUAGAGGCAGCUGAGAUUUAUGAAUCAAUUAGCAAGGCUGAUUGCGCUGCCAAAUGUUUCAUGGAGUUAAAAGGAUUUUAAAAGAGCAGGUAUGGAUUAUUUCCCUUUGUACAUUAUGCAUAUUAGUUUCCUAUCCAUCAAACCAUUUUUUUUGUUGAUUCUCAAGACGACUGAUCUGUCAGACUUCAACUUAUUAGCAGUUAGUAGAAUAGAAGUUGUUUUAGCCUUUUAGGAAUCUUUUAGUAUAGUGUCUUCUUUGUAUGUAAAAAAAUGUAGAAAAUAGAUUAUAGAGCAUGAAACAACAUUUAGUAAAACAAGAGGUACAAGACCUUCUGAUAAGUUGGUUGCUAAUAUACUUGAAGAAAUUGGAGAU